rnacentral:tRNA from 1 species
GGAAUUAUAGCUCAGCUGGGAGAGCAUCUGCUUGACGUGCAGAGGGUCGGGGGUUCGAGUCCCUCUAAUUCCACCA